rnacentral:rRNA from 1 species
ACGGAGGGAGCUAGCGUUGUUCGGAAUUACUGGGCGUAAAGCGCACGUAGGCGGCUUUGUAAGUCAGAGGUGAAAGCCUGGAGCUCAACUCCAGAACUGCCUUUGAGACUGCAUCGCUUGAAUCCAGGAGAGGUGAGUGGAAUUCCGAGUGUAGAGGUGAAAUGCGUAGAUAUUCGGGAGGACGUGAGAGACGUAGGGGGCUCACUGGACUGGUAUUGCCGCUGAGGUGCGAUAGCGUGGCUAGCAAACAU